CUUUUAUAAAAAUUAUCUUAGUUCGGAUUGUUUUCUGCAACACGGAAACAUGAAGUGGGAAUCGCUAGUAAUCGCGUAUCAGCAUGAUGCGGUGAAUACUUUACAAACCCUAGUACACACCGCCCGUCACGCGGCGGAAAUUGGCACUGGCAGACAUAAGCUGGGGUUGUUUAGUUUAUUUUACCCAAACAGUAAUAAUUAUUACUGUUUGUUUUUUUGUUUUUUUUUGUCGUUAUUAAAUAAAAUGUUCGUUGCUAUAAUAGCAACUGCUUAUAACCCUGGGGUUAAAGACUGCUGCGAAGUCGUAACAUGGUAGUCGUAGGGGAACCUGUGGCUGGAAAUAAAUUGUUA
rnacentral:rRNA from 1 species